rnacentral:rRNA from 1 species
GACGAACGCUGGCGGCGUGGAUUAGGCAUGCAAGUCGAACGGUAUCAUCCUUUCGGGGAUGAGAGAGUGGCGAACGGGUGAGUAACACGUAGGUGAUCUACCCUCAAGACGGGGACAACCCAGGGAAACUUGGGCUAAUACCGGAUGUGAGCUAUCGUGAGAUAGUUUGAAAGGUGGCUUCGGCUGCCGCUUGAGGAUGAGCCUGCGUCCUAUUAGCUAGUUGGUGAGGUAACGGCUCACCGAGGCAGUGAUAGGUAGGCGGCCUUAACGGGUGGUCGCCCACACUGGGAUUGAGAUACGGCCCAGACUCCUACGGGAGGCAGGCAGUCGAGAAUAGUCUACAAUGGUCGAAAGACUGAUAGUGCGACGCCGCGUGAACGAGAAGCCCUUCGGGUGUAAAGUCUUUUAUAUGUGAGCAGUGACAUCUAUAUUAAUAGUAUGGGUGUAGAGAUAUUAGCAUAUGAAUAAGCAACGGCUAACUCCGUGCC